UCCCUGGAGGACUAGUGGUCCUAACCAUGGCGCUCUCACUGCUGCGGCCCGGGUUCGAUUCCCGGCCAGGGAA